rnacentral:rRNA from 1 species
CCGACACAGGUGGGUGGGUAGAAUAUACCAAGGCGUAAGAGUGAAACCUCGUUAAGGAACUCUGCAAUCUAGUCCCGUAACUUCGGAAGAAGGGAUGCCCUCCUCGGAGGGUCGCAGUGAAAGGGAGCAACCGACUGUUUAUCAAAAACACAGCAUUGUGCCAAGACGAAAGUCCAAGUAUACGAUGUGACACGUGACCAAUGCGGAAGAUUAAGGCAAGGGGUUAGCCGCAAGGCAAAGCUCUGAACCUAAGUCCCCGUGAAUGUCGGCCGUAACAAUAACGGUCCUAAGGUAGCGAAAUUCCUUGUCGGGUAAGUUCCGACCUGCACGAAUCGUGUAACGAGUUGCUCGCUGUCUCAACGAGGGGCUCAGUGAAAUUGUAAUAGCAGUAGAUGCUGCUUACCCGCAGAAGGACGGAAAGACCCUAUGCACCUUAACUGUAAGCUGUCACUGGUCGUUUGGUUUCCAUGCUUAGCGUAAGUGGGACACUUUGAAGCGAUACUUUCGGGUAUCGUGGAGUGAACAAUGAAACACCACCCUUGGGUAUUGAACGAUCUAACCGCGACCCCUCAUCGGGGCGUGGGACCAUGUCAGCCGGUCAGUUUUACUGGGGCGGUACCCUCCCAAAGAGUAACGGAGGAGCGCGAAGGUUGGCUCAGCGCGGUUGGCAAUCGCGUGACGAGUGUAUUGGCAUAAGCCAGCCUAACUGUGAGACUGACAAGUCGAACAGAUACGAAAGUAGGCCAAAGUGAUCCGGCGGUUUAAUGUGGAAUUGCCGUCGCUUAACGGACAAAAGGUACGCUAGGGAUAACAGGCUGAUCUUGCCCAAGAGUUCAUAUCGACGGCAAGGUUUGGCACCUCGAUGUCGGCUCAUCGCAUCCUGGGGCUGGAGAAGGUCCCAAAGGUCCGGCUGUCCGCCGGUUAAAGCGGUACGCGAGCUGGGUUCAGAACGUCGCGAGACAGUUCGGUCCUCUAUCCUCUGUGGGCGCAGGAAAGUUGAAGGGUUUAAUUCCUAGUACGAGAGGACCGGAAUUAACGCACCUCUGGUGUUCCAGUUGUUCUGUCAAGAGCAUCGCUGGGCAGCUAUGUGCGGAAGAGAUAAGCGCUGAAAGCAUCUAAGCGCCAAGCUCAUCCUGAGAUAAACUUUCCCUGAAGGAUCGUGGAAGACUACCACGUUGAUAGGUCUCCGGUAUAAGUGCAGUAAUGCAUUCAGCUGAGUGAUACUAAUCAUCCGUUUGU